GAUGAACGCUGGCGGCGUGCCUAAUACAUGCAAGUCGAGCGAACGGACGAGAAGCUUGCUUCUCUGAUGUUAGCGGCGGACGGGUGAGUAACACGUGGAUAACCUACCUAUAAGACUGGGAUAACUUCGGGAAACCGGAGCUAAUACCGUAUGAUAUUUUGAACCGCAUGGUUCAAAAGUGAAAGACGGUCUUGCUGUCACUUAUAGAUGGAUCCGCGCUGCAUUAGCUAGUUGGUAAGGUAACGGCUUACCAAGGCAACGAUGCAUAGCCGACCUGAGAGGGGGAUCGGCCACACUGGAACGGAGACACGGUCCAGACUCCUACGGGAGGCAGCAGUAGGGAAUCUUCCGCAAUGGGCGAAAGCCUGACGGAGCAACGCCGCGUGAGUGAUGAAGGUCUUCGGAUCGUAAAACUCUGUUAUUAGGGAAGAACAUAUUUGUAAGGAACUGUGCACAUCUUGACGGUACCUAAUCAGAAAGCCACGGCUAACUACGUG
rnacentral:rRNA from 1 species